rnacentral:tRNA from 2 species
UGGGCUAUUGCCAAGCGGUUAAGGCAUGGGAUUUUGAUUCCCAGAUUCGCAGGUUCGAAUCCUGCUAGCCCAG